UGCUCAUGCUAAGGUGCAUCUAGUGCAGAUAGUGAAGUAGACUAGCAUCUACUGCCCUAAGUGCUCCUUCUGGCAUGAGGGACU
ensembl:miRNA mir18b microRNA 18a